UAUUCUAAAGUAUCUUCACUGGUUAAACGGAGUAAUCAAUGCUCACAUUGACAUCACUGGUGGCUCAGGAGCUUAGACCUAUAAUCAGCUUUGUGUUCAGAAUAGUAUCAAUAAGAAGUGGAGCAGUCUGAUGCGCGUAUGUGGCGGUGUGCAGCGCACAGCUGCUACACAUGACCACACUGUUGAUGUUAUAGUCACAUGGAACCCCGAAGGACCUGACCUAAAAGAAUGAGUAAAAGAGGGAGGAGGAGAAGCAGCCGGCGCCGGAAGAGCUCCAGCAGCCGCAAACAGAGCACCUCCCAGUACAUCAACCCCAAGACAAAUAAGAACAAUAAUGAAGAACUUGUUGAAAAGGGUGAAUCGGACACCUUUGGAAAAGAAUAUACACAUUUAGAAGAUGAAGAAAA